rnacentral:rRNA from 1 species
GAUGAACGCUGGCGGCGUGCCUAAUACAUGCAAGUCGAGCGAACAGACGAGGAGCUUGCUCCUCUGACGUUAGCGGCGGACGGGUGAGUAACACGUGGAUAACCUACCUAUAAGACUGGGAUAACUUCGGGAAACCGGAGCUAAUACCGGAUAACAUGUUAAACCGCAUGGUUCAACAGUGAAAGACGGUUUUGCUGUCACUUAUAGAUGGAUCCGCGCCGCAUUAGCUAGUUGGUAAGGUAACGGCUUACCAAGGCAACGAUGCGUAGCCGACCUGAGAGGGUGAUCGGCCACACUGGAACUGAGACACGGUCCAGACUCCUACGGGAGGCAGCAGUAGGGAAUCUUCCGCAAUGGGCGAAAGCCUGACGGAGCAACGCCGCGUGAGUGAAGAAGGUCUUCGGAUCGUAAAACUCUGUUAUUAGGGAAGAACAAAUGUGUAAGUAACUAUGCACGUCUUGACGGUACCUAAUCAGAAAGCCACGGCUAACUACGUG